rnacentral:rRNA from 1 species
AAAUUGAAGAGUUUGAUCAUGGCUCAGAUUGAACGCUGGCGGCAGGCCUAACACAUGCAAGUCGAACGGUAGCACAGAGAGCUUGCUCUCGGGUGACGAGUGGCGGACGGGUGAGUAAUGUCUGGGAAACUGCCUGAUGGAGGGGGAUAACUACUGGAAACGGUAGCUAAUACCGCAUAACGUCGCAAGACCAAAGUGGGGGACCUUCGGGCCUCAUGCCAUCAGAUGUGCCCAGAUGGGAUUAGCUAGUAGGUG